rnacentral:rRNA from 1 species
GAUGAACGCUGGCGGCGUGCCUAAUACAUGCAAGUCGAGCGAACAGAUAAGGAGCUUGCUCCUUUGACGUUAGCGGCGGACGGGUGAGUAACACGUGGGUAACCUACCUAUAAGACUGGGAUAACUUCGGGAAACCGGAGCUAAUACCGGAUAACAUUUGGAACCGCAUGGUUCUAAAGUGAAAGAUGGUUUUGCUAUCACUUAUAGAUGGACCCGCGCCGUAUUAGCUAGUUGGUAAGGUAACGGCUUACCAAGGCAACGAUACGUAGCCGACCUGAGAGGGUGAUCGGCCACACUGGAACUGAGACACGGUCCAGACUCCUACGGGAGGCAGCAGUAGGGAGUCUUCCGCAAUGGGCGAAAGCCUGACGGAGCAACGCCGCGUGAGUGAUGAAGGGUUUCGGCUCGUAAAACUCUGUUAUUAGGGAAGAACAAAUGUGUAAGUAACUGUGCACGUCUUGACGGUACCUAAUCAGAAAGCCACGGCUAACUACGUG